CUUGAAAAUGGAUAGCACUGGAAUGUUGAGCACGAUGUAGUUUUAUCCUGUAAAGCGAAUGAUUAGAGGUCUUGGGGCUGAAACCAUCUCAACCUAUAAUCAAACUUUAAAUGGGUAAGAAGCCCAGCUGGCUGGCAUGGAGGCGGGGAAUGGAAUUCGAGUGCCUAGUGGGCCACUUUUGGUUAGCAGAACUGGUGCUUCGGGAUGAACCGAAUGCUGGGUUAAGGUGCCAGAUGCCGAUACUCAUCAGACCCCAGAAAAGGUGUUGGUUGAUAUAGACAGCAGGAUGGUGGCCAUGGAAGUCACACUCCACUGGGAAGAGAGGGCACUUAUCACCCACGUCCUUCAUAAGAUAAGUCUUAUGUUUAUGGUUGAUAAUUAAGACUGAGCUAGCAUAUAAGAAAUCCUAGUCA
rnacentral:ncRNA from 1 species